AUUGAACGCUGGCGGCAGGCCUAACACAUGCAAGUCGGACGGUAGCACAGAGGAGCUUGCUCCUCGGGUGACGAGUGGCGGACGGGUGAGUAAUGUCUGGGGAUCUGCCCGAUAGAGGGGGAUAACCACUGGAAACGGUGGCUAAUACCGCAUAACGUCGCAAGACCAAAGAGGGGGACCUCCGGGCCUCUCACUAUCGGAUGAACCCAGGUGGGAUUAGCUAGUAGGCGGGGUAAUGGCCCACCUAGGCGACGAGCCCUAGCUGGUCUGAGGGGAUGUCCUGCAACACUGGAACUGAGAAACGGUCCAGAGUCAUACGGUAGGCAGCAGUGGGAAAUAUUGCACAGUGGGCGCAAUCCUGAUGCAGCCAUGCCGCGUGUAUGAAGAAGGCCGUCGGGUUGUAAAGUACUUUCAGCGGGGAGGAAGGCGGUGCGGUUAAUAACCGCGCCGAUUGACGUUACCCGCAGAAGAAGCACCGGCUAACUCCGUGCCAGCCGCCGCCGUAA
rnacentral:rRNA from 1 species